rnacentral:rRNA from 1 species
AACGAACGCUGGCGGCAUGCCUAACACAUGCAAGUCGAACGAGACCUUCGGGUCUAGUGGCGCACGGGUGCGUAACGCGUGGGAACCUGCCUUUAGGUUCGGAAUAACUCAGAGAAAUUUGAGCUAAUACCGGAUGAUGUCUUCGGACCAAAGAUUUAUCGCCUUUAGAUGGGCCCGCGUUGGAUUAGCUAGUUGGUGGGGUAAAGGCCUACCAAGGCGACGAUCCAUAGCUGGUCUGAGAGGAUGAUCAGCCACACUGGGACUGAGACACGGCCCAGACUCCUACGGGAGGGAGAAGGGGGGAAUAGUGGAAAAGGGGAGAAAGCCUGAUCCAAAAAGGCCGAGGGAGUGAAAAAGGCCUUAGGGUUGUAAAGCUCUUUUACCCGAGAUGAAAAUGACAGUAUCGGGAAAAUAAGCCCCGGCUAACUCCGU